GUGCUCGCUUCAGCAGCACGUAGACUAAAAUUGGAACGAUACAGAGAAGAUUAGCAUGGCCCCUGCGCAAAGA
rnacentral:snRNA from 1 species